GCAGCAGUGGGGAAUAUUGCACAAUGGGCGGAAGCCUGAUGCAGCAACGCCGCGUGCGGGAUGACGGCCUUCGGGUUGUAAACCGCUUUCGCCUGUGACGAAGCGUGAGUGACGGUAAUGGGUAAAGAAGCACCGGCUAACUACGUGCCAGCAGCCGCGGUGAUACGUAGGGUGCGAGCGUUGUCCGGAUUUAUUGGGCGUAAAGGGCUCGUAGGUGGUUGAUCGCGUCGGAAGUGUAAUCUUGGGGCUUAACCCUGAGCGUGCUUUCGAUACGGGUUGACUUGAGGAAGGUAGGGGAGAAUGGAAUUCCUGGUGGAGCGGUGGAAUGCGCAGAUAUCAGGAGGAACACCUGUGGCGAAGGCGGUUCUCUGGGCCUUUCCUGACGCUGAGGAGCGAAAGCGUGGGGAGCGAACAGGCUUAGAUACCCUGGUAGUCCACGCUGUAAACGGUGGGUACUAGGUGUGGGGUCCAUUCCACGGGUUCCGUGCCGUAGCUAACGCUUUAAGUACCCCGCCUGGGGAGUACGGCCGCAAGGCUAAAACUCAAAUGAAUUGACGG
rnacentral:rRNA from 1 species